UGGGGAAUAUUGGACAAUGGGCGAAAGCCUGAUCCAGCCAUGCCGCGUGUGUGAAGAAGGUCUUCGGAUUGUAAAGCACUUUAAGUUGGGAGGAAGGGCAGUAAGCGAAUACCUUGCUGUUUUGACGUUACCGACAGAAUAAGCACCGGCUAACUCUGUGCCAGCAGCCGCGGUAAUACAGAGGGUGCAAGCGUUAAUCGGAAUUACUGGGCGUAAAGCGCGCGUAGGUGGUUCGUUAAGUUGAAUGUGAAAGCCCCGGGCUCAACCUGGGAACUGCCUCCAAAACUGGCGAGCUAGAGUAGGGCAGAGGGUGGUGGAAUUUCCUGUGUAGCGGUGAAAUGCGUAGAUAUAAGAAGGAACACCAGUGGCGAAGACGACCACCUGAGCUCAUACUGACACUGAGGUGCGAAAGCGUGGGGAGCAAACAGG
rnacentral:rRNA from 1 species